CAGCAGUGGUUUGUUCUGGCAACAGUGUCAUUCAAGCUUUUCCAACAUGAUUCGCACUGUUCUCGCAACCCUUUUCCUGGCAGCAGCGGUCGUGGAGGCCCAGUAUGGCUACCCAAAGCCCUGCCCUCCUGAGGUCAAAUACGUGACCGAGACGGAGACAGUGCCUCAUUAUGUCACCGUGACCCGCUACCAAACCCAGACCAAAUACCAUACCGCCUAAACUACCCAGUACGUGACAGAGACAGAAGCUGUGCCCAAGUAUGUGACGCAGACACAGGCAGUGCCCCAUUACGUGACGGAGACAGUGCCAAAGUACGUGACCACAACCAUCCCGCAGCAGGAAUACGUCACUGUCGACCAGUACUGCAAGCCCUCCGGAGGUUAUGGCUACAGCGGUUGAAAUGCAGAACAUCAUUAUUAGAAUACACGGA
rnacentral:lncRNA from 1 species